rnacentral:rRNA from 1 species
UACAGAGGUCUCAAGCGUUGUUCGGAUUCAUUGGGCGUAAAGGGUGCGUAGGCGGCGCGGUAAGUCGGGUGUGAAAUCUUGGAGCUUAACUCCGAAACUGCAUUCGAUACUGCCGUGCUUGAGGACUGGAGAGGAGACUGGAAUUUACGGUGUAGCAGUGAAAUGCGUAGAUAUCGUAAGGAAGACCAGUGGCGAAGGCGAGUCUCUGGACAGCAACUGACGCUGAGGCACGAAGGCCAGGGGAGCAAACGGG